rnacentral:lncRNA from 1 species
GUAAAUUUUUGCAACCCUAAAUAAAUUUGGUAUUGGGUUUUUUUUGUAGGUCGGAUGGAAUUUAAGCGCAGCAAUCGACGCCCUUACCUCUUUUUUUCUUUUCAUCUUCAAACAAAAUUUUAUUACUGUUCUUAAAUUUCUGAGGCUCUUCGAUCCUCUAUGAUUGUACUAUGUGAAACCAUACCUUGUUUUUAAAUGUAAUGUUUUCAUUAAUCUUAGAACUGAAAUUUGUGCUGUAUUCGUGUGUAAUUUUUUAUAUUUAAUUUUGAAUUUUGCCGAGGGGGAAGUUGCUACACAUGAAUUUUAAAUUGCUCUGGAUUCAAAUUUGGUUGAACUGAAAUGUAGGGCCGGAAGCAAGAACUGGUAACACAUGUAUACUAAGGUGAAUAUCCUACGGUUGUUCGUUGGUUCUAGACGCAGUUGUUAAGGGAUUUUUGAUACUUAGUUUUUGUUGUUGAUAAAGUUUAUUUGAACAAUAAACUUUUGGCCAUAUAAGUUUUGUUACGAGGUUUAAGUAACUGUCGGUUUUUGGUUUUUGCUUUAUCACUAUUACUAACGCAAUUUGGUUCUUGUUCUAUGAAACACAAUGUUUCGAAACCGUGAUUAGGGUUAGGUUCAGAGCUGUCGAAGAAGGUACGUUCACACCAACUUGCAUAAUUAUGGUCCACAAAUCAAAUUCUCAGGUUAUCUGGUUCAUUGCUGCUCGUUGGAGCAAAGCUUACAUCGUAUAAACUAUGCACGUACACUUCAAAUGAGAUAUUACCGGUCAACAUAGAGUUUCUACUUUCUACGUGCUGCUCUGAAAAUCUUAGUCAAUAAGUGGAUGCAUUAACUUCCGAAGAUUUCAAUCUCGGCUAGAAACAUACUUCCCAAACGAUUGAACUGUGUAGUCAUUCAUUUGCCGAUUUUUAUCGUUGUUGAAGGUGUUCAGUCGCUGGUCGUAUCAUCGUUGUGAAUAGAUUUCGGUAAUGCCAGUCUUUGAAUUUUAAAGCUUAGUAGGUACAUAUUGAAAGCUUCUUGCAGCAUCCCGCCAUUAAAAUGGACAUGAAUCGGUAAGCACGUACAUGAUGUUUAAAAACUUUUUUUUUUCCUUUGUUAUACAUGACAUGGUUCCGAUUGUGAAAUCUUCGAAUAUAUUGUCCAUUUCAGUUUUAUGUAAGUUUGUAGCUAAUAGACUUCCUUAAUUUACACUAUAGACAGAAUUGAAAAAUUACAAGCUCGACAUUUUUUAUGAAAGCCUUGUGAAUUUACUAUGAGAUGAUGAUCUUCGAACCUUUUUGUUUCUCUGUUGGAGUAAUAGUCGUUUUGUUGUCUGCCGGUCUUUAUGUCAGCACCUGAAGUGAACUUGCUUAGAAACUUUAUUCUCCAAUUUCUCUGUGUUUGCUCAAGUCAAUUGGCAGCCUGAGUUGAUGCAGUCUGUUAAAAAACUUGAACCACUUCGCACUUCUCUGAUUCCCAUAAUUAAGGACAAAAAACCAAAGUAUAAGAGCCGAUGCGUUCUCCGACUGAGUUUAUCUUCAUUAGGUGAGUUAUCUCUGGUUUGGUUCUCUCAUAUUCCAGCGUACAUCAAGUGUGACAUGAGCCCCUGUUUUAUUUUAAAACAUAUCUAUAACCAUAAACAUGAUCUCCACUGUGUUUUCCCAUUUCUUUUUCCGACUCUUCGUUUAUAGUCUGCCGAUUUUUUUUUUUUAAUUAUAGUCUGCGGAACUUAAAGUGGACAAGUUUGAUGGGACUGAUUGUGAUUAUGUAGGAUAUGGUUGCAGCAGCUAUGCAGUCAUGUAUUACAAGUGAUUGGUGAUUAUAUAUGAAUUUAUGGAUAUUCAUUAAUAUUCAGGUCACUAACAUAAGGGAAAGCAAUUUUACAGUAAUGCCAUUACAAAAUUACAAUAACAAAACUUAGAGUGGAAGAAAAAACUUUACAUCUGUGUCAAAGUGAAAGCAAAUGUAAUCAUCCCCCCUUUACAACCCACCCACUGCCAUUGCUUGUGUCUAUAUACUAAUACCAGUUUUAGUCUCUAAUACCACCUCAAAACUUCUGAUUUUGUCCUGCCCAAAAACAAUCUCACAGAGAGAGAGAGAGAGAUCUAGAGAGAGAGAGAGAGAUGAAACUAUCUACUAACCUCUCUAACCACCAUACUUGUGAGAAUGAGUUUUUUUCUUGAAAGCUGAUUUAGUGAAGAGCAAACAAGCCAUUACAAGGCCCACACCCACUAGCCCUCCCAGCACAAUUGCAAUUAUCUUCUCUGUAUUAAUCUUCCCUGUCCCUACACCCAAUCAAAUAAACACUUCAGACAAAACAAUCUUAAUCUUCAUAAUAUAUUUAUGCCUCGUUUGAUUGGCAAGAUAAGAUUAAAUAAUCUAAUGAGACCCAAUUAUUUUAUUGGAGCUUGAAAGGUGCAACAAAAAAAACUCAUUAAAAGGCAAGAUAAACCAUGAUUAUAUAAUUUUGGCGGGUCGACCCGGCAAGUUAUUGAGGAUACCAAACAUCAAAUUAAGUCCAACUAUUUAGUUAAUCAUGGCUUAUCUUGACAACCAAACGGGACCUUAUAAUAUUAAUAUAUCCAGGAAAUGGAAACACAAUUAAAUCCCACCCCGAUUAAAAAAGAACCCGCAUCCCAGCACAUAUUGGGGGAAAGUAACCAUAGACGUCGACAUUCAACCAUCUUCACUAAAAUCUUUAGCUGUCAUUUUCAGUUUUCACUUUCAUGUUUCAAAAUAUUUUAAGGGCAAAUUACAAGGAAUCCUUGAUCUAAAGCCUAAUUACGAAAAAAAAUCCUCACUGUUUGCAUAAUUACGACCACUUCCCGAGCCCUAACAGAAUGUGGUUAUUGUCUAAACUACUCGGGCGUUAAAAUAAUUAAAUGAAAGAGAAAAAAAAGGUCUUAUAUUCAAUGUAAAACCUUACACGGAACACCUUCUUCCAUAAAAACGGCUAGUUAAGAAUAAAAAAAAGAAAAAAAAUUGUUUAAAAAGAACUAUAUAUAAAAAAAAAAAAAAAAGAAGAAGAAUGAUUUUAAGAACCUUACAGUUAUACUCCUAAGGUAUAAUGUAUAUUUCAUGGAAUCUAUUUGAUUAUCUGCGAGAGUAAAUUCGUCUUACGAAUAAUACCUCAAUGCUCAUAAUUAUGCAAACAAUAAGGGUUUUUGUUUUUUCUCGUAAUUAGGCCUAACUUAGGGUGUCCUUGUAAUUUGCCCUAAUUCUAAUUAGAACAUAAAAAUUCAAAAUAAUAUUUAGCUUUCAAAUCUUGUAAACACCAAAAAUUUGAAGAGUUUUCAAAUGUUAAUUCCGAAAAUAAUUCUAUGAUCAUUAAUUUAAUUAUAUUACAUUUAAAUUUAUUUACCUGAUGAAGGUGAAAUCGGUUGUUGGUUGUCGGCCGGAACGCCUCUGGGAUUAUAAGAGUAGCUAAUGUAGCAGCGUUGAAGAUAAAUCUGUGCAGCAAUGGAGCUCCCGCAUUCAGAUUUAGCCCUGUCGAUCGCGUUUUUCACGCAGUUCACACAGUCGCCGCCGCCUAAAUCACCUUCGCACUGACCCAACACAUACACCGACUGAUACACCGCCGCGUAAUACCCACCGUUCCCACUCCCUACGCCUUUGACUAUCUCCUCAAACCCCAACUCCAGCCUGUCACCAAACCCGGCCCCACUCGCCCGAGUCGACCCGCACACCUUGUACAGCAACUCGGUCCCACUCACCUGCCUGAAUCCGGCGAUCUCGUACCUCAAAUAGCAUCCGCCUAAUUGGACUCUGGCAGCGAUUGCUCCGCCGCAGAGCUUCUGCGCGAAAUCCGGUGUCCUCUUCACGCACCUGCUGCAGUCUUCGUUCGAGAGAUCGCCUCUGCAUUGGAAGAGGCCGGUGAUGGACGACGGCGGCGAUCCGGAGGUUGUUUUGAAGAAUUUCGCGGCGGAGGAUUGGGUGAUUAAUGUGUCGAGCAGAUUCGUCAGUGCUUGCUUGUACGUCCCGCCGGAGUCCUGGAAGUUCUGGUCGGCGCAGCCUUUGAACACCAAGUUUGUGUUGUCGGCGGCGGCGGCGGCGAUGGUGGAUAACAGAGCUGUGAGUAUGAGGAGUAGCAGCGGCUGAGAUAAUGGACCCAUUUUUUGAAUGAUUUUUUUUUUGUGUGGAGUUCGUGAAGAUUGUGCGCUGAUUUCUUGGGGAAGAAUUUCUGUAGGGUCCUCUUGAGAUAUAUAUUUUUUUUUUGAUAAAUUCUUGAGAUAUAUAUAUAUAUAUCUGGUGAUAGAGUAUUUAUUGGAUUUUGAUUUGGGUAAGAACAAGAAUUUUUGGGGUGUGUGUGAAAAUUUUGUGGGUGGAAGAUCUGCUCUGCCAAAUUCACAGUUGCCAGCCACUGUUUACAUAUUGUAUUAAUCAUGUCGACUAUAUAAUAAUACUUAAUAACGGCUUAAUCCCACUUUCCACCCUUGAAAUAUACAAUUUCGACACUUUGCAUCCUGAAAAUAAAUAAAUAGCGCUUUGCACCCUCGAAACACCAAUUUUUACGCGAAUAAACUUAAUUGAAUAUGUUUAAUGCUAUUUAAAAGUUAUAUUUUUUAUCAUAAAAAAUAUUUCAUGAAAGAAAAAAAUUCUUCAACUAUUACGUUAUCAACUUAUCUGAAAAUUAUAUUUUGUUUUUAAAUAUUUCUAUCUAAUAUUUCCACCAAUUGCAAGAAAAGAUCUAUCGAAUAAUUUAGUGAUAAAAGUUUAAUUGAUUUUAUUUUCUACAAAAAUAUAAAAAAAAAUUCAAUUCUCGGUGUAAUUUUAAUUUUUUUUUCUCGCAUUUUAUGCACUCGAAAUUAGGUUGGAGAUUGAAGAAAUAUCAAUUUAAUUUGUUAUUUUACCCCGCGGGAAAAAAACCAAUAAAAAAUGAGCUAUUCUUUAUUAUUCAGUUAAGGGCGCAUUAUGAAUGGUUUAUGAUGUUUUGAGAGUGCAAAGUGCUAUUAUUGUUUUUUAAGGGUUUAAAUUAUUAAAGGUUCCAUUUCAGAGGUGCAAAAUGUGAGUAAGCCCUUAAUAACAGUAAUUUAUCACUAAUUGUUGGAUUAGUUUACAUGAGGAAUACGAAGUUUUUGUAUGCCCGUGGGCCUAACUUGGAUUGUUAUCGGGCUGAAAUUUUAUCGGCCCAAUAUUUAAAAACCCUUAAAUGUCUUCUUUACCCUUCACGAGUGCGUGAAAUUACUCUAUUGCCAGAAAAACAUUGCACUGCUGGCCUUCCCUCACAUUUGGUUCUCUUCUCCACGCUUCUCGCGCGUGGACUACACCUCCAUUUCCACUCAUUUAUUCAGCACUCUCAGAACCAGUGUACCUCCGUUACAACACAUACAGAGAAGCGGAUUGUGAACAUUGGUAUGCCCUUUCUUCCAUUAUUGUUUCUGUGUAUCAAUUUUUUGCAUUUCUUCGUCAGAUUAUCCAGCACAUAUGUCUUACCUGCUUUCGCUUCGUAUCAAAUUGCAUUUUUGUUUAAAUUUAAUUGUUUGUAAGUCGCUCGAAGCGAUUCCUCAGCGUAAUUGGAAAGUUUUCGACGUACAUUUUAUGGAAAUAUGUUUAUGUUCAACUUUUUUUUGGGGAUUUAGGGUUCAUUUUUCAAUACCUUGCUUUUAAUGGAAGAGAUGCGUUCGCUUUUUUCUUGAGUAGGAAGAGUGAGAUUUUGACAAGAGAACCCGCAACUAUUCGAAAUUGAAAAAUGUGCGAACAGUGACCGGCCCGUAUUAUACGGUGUGGUUCAUAGUUUCGACCGAACCGUGACCAUCUAUAGACAUUAUCAAUAUAUUUGAAAUAUUAAAAUAAUUUUGACCACUUCUAGUUAUAUUUUGUUUACAUUACGCUUGCGCUGAUAUACAGUAUCAGUUGAAUUUGGCGCUAAAAUAAAUAAUCCAAUGUGUCUUUAUAGUGACUUGCCUAAUAUCAAGUUCGAUUAUGGUUUGUGAAAAGUAUGAAAUCUUUAUUUUUUGCUUUCGGGCCUCAUUAUGAAAAUUUAUGUACUGCUAGAACUACAUAUUGACGUUUCUUUUCAUGGCUAGUCAUUGUAUGUAAAAGUAAAAAUAAUGUAUCAGUAAUGAGGGCCAAUAUAGUACGUUUGUAUGUACGACUUUUUUGAUAAAAUUCUGAAGUACGCAGUUCCGACUGAUGGAGGAAAUUGUUAUACAGUAAUUUUGGUUUACAAGUAUUUAUGGUACUAUAUUACCGGUUAACCUGGAGAAGAGGGUGGUUUAGAUCGAAUAGGAUGAACUUGUGCCAUUCUUGCCACCUAAGUUGCAUGGACCUUAUCUGGCAUUGGAAUUUCUAGUUGUUCUCUUAACUCUAGAAAUUAACUACUAUCUUAGAGAAUUCAUGUUUAUUGAACAUCGGGUGUGGUUAUUGAAGUAAUAUUUUGGUGGGAAGUUCGCAGAUUAUGCUCCUAUAUUUUAACUUAUUCGUGAGAGAGAGAGAUCAAGUGGUGCCAGUGAGAGGCUAUCCUUCAUAAUUUUCCGCAGUUUGUAUUGGUUUUUGAAGCCAAUCACAUUGCGUAGUGCCCUUGUUAUUGAACUAAAUUUAACCUCAAACUGAGUGCAUUGAUGAAGUUAUAUUACAGGCUCGAAGUGGUAACUGCUAUAUGGCAAGAUAAGCUUUGACAUUCUGCAUGAACCAGUGAUGAUUAUUUUAUAUUGUGGUGUUUCUCGUGCUUUUACUGCAUAUACUAGGCCAGUUGAUGAUUUUUUUCCCAUUACAAGUUUAGCAGAUUUUUGUUUUUCAGUGCUACCAUUAUUCUGCUUUCUGACAAAUGGAAGAUAUUUUGUUUAUUGGAAGGGUCAGAAUCUGUAAUAUAAAAGCUGUUGAAAUGAGCAAUAAGGAAACAAAAGAAAGAGUUGCAAAUGCCUUUCGUGCUAUGAAGGCUAUUGGAAUCUCCGAAGAUAAGGUGAAGCCAGUACUGAAGUCUUUGCUAAAAUUGUACGAUAAAAAUUGGGCGCUUAUUGAACAGGAAAAUUAUAGAGCUCUUGCUGAUGUGAUAUUUGAGAGAGAUGAAUCGAAAGUAUGUGUUGCAGGCUAAAUUCACGUACCCUUCUUGUUUAGUUGGUAACUACUGUAAAUCAAUCUGAGAUAUUAAUUCUACAUUAUUAUCUUUCAGGCAGAAGAGCUUCCAAAGAAGGUUGUGAAUAAUGAAGUACGUCAUCUGCUCCGUAAUUGUAUUUAGCAAACCAAUAUUUUAAUAGUAGUUGCACUUUUAUAAUUGAUAUCUUUUUCGCCUACGUUAGCCCAAUUACUAAGGCAACUUAAGCGAUAGUAAUUUGAUUCGUAUCAUUUUAUCAGGUAGCAGAGCAGUCAAAGAAGAUUGAGAGUGCUCAAGUAGGUGAUCUAUUACAGCUACUAAUCCCUUUUUUUUUACCAAGUUUUUGGUGAUAAAUUUUUAUAUACAAUAUCAGUUUUCACUGUUAUUUUUCUUAAAAGGUGUGGCACUAAACAAUGACUUAAUCCUCCUAAAUAGACAGAGGACAAUUUGGAAGAAGAAGUUCAUGCAACUGAAGAGCCAGAACAACCAUUAAAAAGGCUGCGACGUAGAUACCAAGAUGGCCAAACUUCCUCUUUGAAUACGUCUAAUGCCGGAAAGCAAAGAACUGCACCUGUAAAGUCUAAAAAAGAACUGGAUGGGGCUAAUACCCCCAAGUUAAACGAAAAAGAAGUCAUGGUGGAGUCACCUAAGCACAACGAAGAAAACACAACAAUUCAUACACGGGCUGCCACAUCAGAAUCAGUCUGUAAAAGUAAAGGAAAACAACCUAUUUCUCCCGAACCCUUGGUUGUUCAUGAGAGAUGUGAUCCAAGCGGGCCCAGUAGCACCACUGGAAGUCAGCGAAAGACCCGAUCAAGAAUUGAAUACGGAUCACAGUCUCAUCCAAUGAGGCUCAGAGAAAGAGGGAAAGGAGUUGUCUAUGUUCACACUCCAUCCAGGAAGAAGCGGCGAGCUCCUGAAAGUUCAUCCCAUGCUGUACCUCUAAAAGAGUCUGAGACUGAGCCAAGCAUUCCUUUGUCACCUAAAAACAAGAGCAAUGCAAGUUGUGAUUUAAUUAAGCCUAAAGAUGAGCCAAUCACUAGUGACGUGCCGAGUUUAGAGGUUCCUGGUGCGAACGUUCAUCCGGGUAUGCUUUUGCUUUUCUGUCUGCACACUUCAGAGUUUAUUCAAAUAUUACGUUCUUCUAUUUGUUGGAUUGUCAAUAAUCAUCACGAUGUGUGAUUCAAGGAUCUUCUUUUGCUAUAGUUAACAAUUUAUCUAUGUAGUUGGUACGUUUUAGACAACUGUUGGUCCUUGGGGAUAUGCAAUUGUUAUUAAGGAGAGUAUGGUUAUUAUAGUUUUUCUAGUUGAAUAUUUUAUUUUCAACUUUUAUUGCGGAAUGUGGAGGUAUGUAUUUAUCGUGUUACUCCUAUGUCAUUCCUUGGAGUUCCCCUAUCGUGUCUUACUUGAGAUGUCUAGUUAUAUUUGUAGAAGGUUAUUGUACCAAGUAUAAUAAUAACACAUUGAUGAUUUAUCACACAAUAUUAUUUCCUAUAAUGUUACUUUAUCUUAGUGUUACAGAAUUUUUUAAUGCCUUAUCCAUUCUGACAAUUCUAGUUCAAAAUUUACAGAUACAUCAAAUGAAGGAGAUUCAUCGAAUAGAGGAAACUGUAGUUCUGAACCAUCAGAAACGGAAUCUGUGAGUGAAGAGGAAACAUCUACCGACUCUUCCAUGCUAAAUGAAUCACGAUACAAUAAUGAGAUGGCAAUGGUCUCAGGUGCACGGUCUUCUAAUCUAGAGAUUGCUUCCUCGACUUGUGGAGAGGUGAAAAUCUAUUUGACCUGUGGCUUCGCUUCUGAAAGUGCUGACUUCCAUAUGCCUAGUCUUGAAGCAGUUCUAAAAUCUGUUGAAGAUAAAUGUCUUCGAUCACACAAAACUUCGGACCCGUACAUUUCUAUGACGAAACUUAUGACAGAAACGUGCCAAUGCUUUCUGAAGUUAGGAACUGACUCCAGUAGUCAAUCACCAAAAACCCUUAAUGUGACUCCAACCAUUGAUUCAGUGAGUAAAUCUUCUGAAAUGGAUGCUGUAGGUGAAAAAUGCCGUUCUAGUACCAGGAUACCUCAGCCCAAAAUACAAAAUUGCAACGGCACAAAUAAUGGACCACUGCCGAACAAGAUAGAUGCUGGAGAUGAAAUAAUGACAAAUAUGCAAAACGAAGAAAAUUGUGCCGAAGAAAUUGAUGGACCGAGCUUGGAAGUUGCUCCUGAAAUUACAAGGUCACUUAAUGAUGUUGCUGACAUUGCUAAUGGGCUAGAAAAUGUUGUAAUUACAAUGGUGAAUGAGGUCAAUGAUGAGCGUCCUCUAUUUUUCCGCUACAUACCUCAAAAUGUAGCAUUCCAAAAUGCAUACGUGAAUUUCUCUCUAGCUCGUAUUGGAGAUAACAUUUGCUGUGGUACCUGUUCUGGUGAUUGUCUGUCGCUACCCCAUCCUUGUGCAUGUUCACAUGAAACUGGAGGCGAGUUUGCGUACACCACAGAUGGUCUUGUUCGGGAGGAAUUUCUUAAAGAGUGUAUUUCCAUGAACCGCAACCCGAAAAAACAUUGUCAGUAUUUCUGCAAGGAAUGUCCUUUGGAAAGAUCAAAAUGCGAGGAUGUUAUCGAACCUUGCAAAGGUCAUCUCGUAAGAAAGUUUAUAAAAGAAUGUUGGUGGAAAUGUGGCUGUCAUAAAGAAUGUGGCAACCGGGUGGUACAGCGAGGAAUAACUCGCAAGUUACAGGUAUUACUUUAAUCAGCUGCACUUAAUUUUAUGGAGUUGUUAACAGUCACUUGUUUUUUUUUUUUUUAUAAUUAAUUUGCGUGCUAUUAGGUGUUUAUGACUCCUCAAGGAAAAGGUUGGGGCCUACGUACUCUGGAGGACCUGCCAAAAGGUGCAUUUAUUUGUGAGUACGUUGGAGAAGUUUUGACCAAUGCAGAGCUAUUUGAACGUGUUUUAAAGAGUCCUAAGGGGGAGAAACAUUCAUAUCCCGUGCUUCUUGAUGCUGAUUGGUGUGCAGAAGGAGUGCUGAAAGAUGAAGAAGCUCUUUGCUUAGAUGCUACAUAUUACGGAAAUCUAGCUAGGUUUAUUAACCACAGGUAAGUUCACUUGCGUUAAGAUUAUGCAUUUGCUGCAUUAACAUGGCCAAGGGACGGAACCAGCUAGUUUGGGCUCGUUCACUGUUCCGGAGCCUUUUUUUUUUUUUUUGAAAAGAUUUAAAUGGUUGAAUCAACAAUUCACAACGAUCACUUAACCAUGACCAUUGAUUUGCAACAAUCAUGAGAUCGCGACCGAUCAACUAGAGGCUUUCUAUUUCUGAUUUAAUUGCAGAUUUCUUAAUGUCCUUAUUCUGUUUUCUGAAACCGUGCCAGAUGUUUUGAUUCAAACUUAGUCGAGAUUCCAGUGGAAGUCGAGAAUCCCGAUCACCACUAUUAUCACGUAUGCAAUUACCUCCACUUUUUCUAAGUUUGUCCGACUUCAAGUUUUUUUCUGAUUAUGUAUGAUUGGAUCUUGUCUUUCAGCUCGCAUUCUUCACUACAAGAAAAGUGAAAGCCAUGGAAGAACUCAAUUGGGUAAGUCUGUUUAAAAAAUUUCAAUCAUCUCUCUAAAACUUAGUCGUGCAUUAAAGAAUAAUCCUGGAUCGAGUGUUAUUUUUUUGCUGAGAAGAUAUGUAUAUAUAUAUUACAAUUGAUUUCAGGAUUAUGGCAUUGAUUUUGAUGACCACGAACACCCGAUUAAGGCAUUUCGUUGUCACUGUGGAAGCAAGUCGUGCCGAAAUAUAAAGCGAUCUAGUAAGCGUAAUUACAUCACAGUCCACAUUUUUCGUAAUAAUGCCAUCGAUGCUUCUUAAGUCAUAACCAUCUGAUUUUGUGUCUAUCGUAGGAUCAAGAUCUUCUAGAAGAUGAGCAUGUGUCGAUUCUUCUCCAUCCUCGGCAUCGAAACUUGAAACGAUUCUUCUGUGUUGUACGCUCGUGUAAUUUUUGAGCCAUCGAAAGCGAAAAAAAUGGUUAGAGAAUGAAAUGAUGUAUCAUUGUAUCUUUAUCCCCGAGCUAAUAUAGUUGUAGUACUCAUCUCUGGUUGUUAGCAAAUUUUUUAUGAUGCUCUGAUUUUUCAUUUUACUACCUUACACAUUUGGAUUCGUGCUUGUCAAAUUGUUUUUGUAUUGAUAAAUUCUUAUAACCCAAUUAAUCAAUUUCUUUUUAAUUAUUCCCAUAUUGUAAAUGGAAAUUGUAUUUACCUGAAGUGGACACAAGUUUAGGAGUUAAAACAUAUAUUUAUUUUAGGAAAAAUAUUCAAUAAAACACAACUAAUUAUUUUUUUGUUUUUUUACUAAUUACUCUCUUCGUUGAAUUAAAGUUCGAAUUUAAAGUUGAAUUAUGUUAUAAUUUAAUAAAAGCUUUUAUAAAAAAUAAAGAAUAAAAAAUAAAAGUAAAAAAAAAUAAACAUUCGGUUUAGCUAAGAAGCCCAAUAAAAUUAACACUACUAUCGGGCCUAAUAUCUUUCAGCCCGUAUAAUUAAAUAAGAAUAUUAUUAUCGGGCCUAGUAUCUUUCAUCCCGUAAAUCUGUAAGACCACAAUUAAAUAAAAACCCUAGCCCAAAUUAAAAACAUUUUUUUUAACAGCCGAUAUAAAACCCUAGCUGCUCAUACAGUUUCGGGUGAGAGUAGAGAGGGGUGAAGAUCCUGCGAAAAUGUCGAAGCGAGGUACGUACGGCAGAUCAAUUUCCCAAACUUUGUUCAUUUCUCUUCACAUUUUCCAAAUCGGAAAGUACGAUCCGAAUACGUGGUGUUUAUCUUAUGAUUCUGUGUGAUCGCAGGGCGCGGAGGAUCGGCCGGUAACAAGUUCAGGAUGUCGCUGGGUUUGCCGGUGGCGGCGACGGUGAACUGCGCCGACAACACCGGGGCGAAGAACCUGUACAUCAUUUCAGUGAAGGGGAUCAAGGGUCGCCUGAACAGGCUUCCGUCGGCCUGCGUCGGCGACAUGGUCAUGGCCACCGUGAAGAAGGGAAAGCCUGAGCUCCGUAAGAAGGUCAUGCCCGCCGUCAUCGUCCGCCAGCGCAAGCCGUGGCGCCGAAAGGACGGUGUCUUCAUGUACUUCGAAGGUAGAUUUAAUAUGUUUUUUUGAUUUUUUCAUCUUAUUUCAAUUGUGAAUGCUGUUGUAGAGUAUGAUUAUUGUGUGAACUGUGAUGGUUUGUUUGAUAUGUGCUUAGUUAGCGGUGCUCGUAUCGCUUGCAUUUGGAUCUAUGUGUUAAAUCGUUUAAUUUCUGUCGUCUUAAACAGCUGUUCUAUGUGGUGUUUAUAAAUAUGAUAAUGGGGGCCUGUAAUUUGUAAUACAAUGUUGCAGCCUAUUUUCUUUUCAUAUAUUUCAUAAUCGAUACAUUUCCUAUGAAGCUCGAAAGCUAGAGAUGGUAUUAGUUCAUUUUUAAUUGCCGUCUCGUCAUCAUUUUCUAAUUACCUGCUGUAGAGUUUUUUUAUUAGCUUAGAAUUGAAAUUUUCAUUAUUUACUUAAUCCACGAUCAUCUCUAAACAUAUAGAUACAACGAUAGCAAGACUCGCGUGUGGUCCUUUUGUGGAGAAACUUGUUUUUUGCUAUGUAUCUUACCGAAUGAAUGAUGUUCAAACUUUCUGUCAUUUUAUAGUGCUUAGCAUUUCAGUUAAGUAAUGUAACUUAAACUCUUUUGUGUAUACAGAUAAUGCUGGGGUUAUUGUGAAUCCUAAGGGUGAAAUGAAAGGUAUUAAUCGUAGAUUAACUUCUUUUCGAAAUUAUCGUUAAUGUAUCGUUGUUGAUUUUGUCUUCGAGUUGUGUCUUAUAUUUCUUGCGCUGCUUUUAUUAUAUGAAGGAUCUGCCAUCACCGGUCCUAUUGGAAAGGAGUGUGCUGAUUUGUGGCCUAGGAUUGCAAGUGCCGCCAACGCCAUUGUCUAGACGAGACGUAGAAGUUUGCUGCAAUUCCCUUUAGUUUUGUGCCUGUUUCUGUGAUUUUGAAUCUUUCGACUAUUGAAUGUUGAGGAAUGAAUGCUGUUAUUCUCUAUCAGAUUUUUGUAAGAACUGGGCUCGUUUCUUAUCUGGAUUCGCUUAAUUAUUGUGAUACUGCUUUUUUGACUUCAUAUCCGGAUUACUCUUUAUUCUGAUUGAAGGUGCUCUUAGCUUAUUUAAGUUCUAUGCGAACGAAGUUUGAUGUUACCGUGUGUUGUUUUUUAGUUAUGUCUCCGAUUUUGUCUUGACCAAUGGACUUGGUAAUGAAGUAUCAUAGGACAUAGAUGGUGUAAUAUGACACUUUUGAAAUAUACACGCAACGAAAUUCACUAGGUGUAGCGUCAAAUAUUCGUAUAUUCGUGCAGAGAGGUUGUUAAAUCUCCCCUUUUCAUGCAAGAAUGUGAAUUUCAUCCUAAUUAAAUAAUAUGAUAGAUGAUGAACGAGAUCAAAAUUUUCACAAAAACAAUAAAUAAAUAAAGAAUAAAACUUUCAAAGAUCAUAGAUCCAAAUUUGGAUACAAGUGAAUUUUUUUAUGAACUAAAAUAUGAAAUAUUGAUUUUUGCAAAGAUUAAAUUGCCAUGAAUUUUUAAUUCUCACAAAACAAUUUAAAUCCCGCCAGUUUAUUUCACUACGGGCUUUAGUCCUCUAAUCUAAACAAUUGGGCCGGGCCUUUAGCUAACACGUAACUGAAAAUGGGCCGAGCCCAAAUAUCUGAAAAUUUUCUGAAUAAUGAUUCAUUGCAAGGCGGGAAAAUUCCAGAAACUCUCUCAGUUGGUUAGACUGUAGAUUUGUAAUUGAACAGUAGAAUCGGAAGAGGAGAAUCGGUAUUCGGGUCAAGUAAUUUCUACAUGGGUUGGUCUUACCCUGAAUCAUCCAUGGCAGAUCUGAUAAAAUUGAUUGAAACUUUCAUAGAUAUGUUGAUUUUGGCUUCUGGAUAUCAAUCAAGCGGCCGCCUCGCGCACUGGGACUCCCACAACAUCAUCAAAUGUUUCCAUUGGGCGCUCUUUCUCGAGAAUGUAAGCGGCGGUUCCCGAUUUUUCGUUCGAUUAUAAUUUGUUCUAUGGUUUUGAGUUCUGAUAGAAUAAUCUGGAAUUUGAACGAAGAAAGUUGGAGCUCUAACAUGAUGUUGAUUGUUAAAUUUUUUUUUAAUUUUUUUAAUAUUAGAUUAAUAUUUAUUCAUGUGUUCGAUUAGGUGUCGAAGAAGCUAACAAGUUCGAUUGAUUACGAAGCCUCUGUUAAAGAGCUAGAUGCUGCUUUAUAUGAAUUAACAUGCAAUCCUCAUUUCCCUCAGGUUAAAAGUUUUCUUUGUAGCUCUUUUUAUUUCUUGAUUUAGUUUUUCUUUAAUGUAUUUAGCUGGAUUUUUUAAUGUUUUUUUUAAGCAGGGUCUUGCUCGUUUGUCGUGCAGUACCCUUGGUCGAUCGAGGGAUCUUCUGUUGGAGCAUUUAGUUCUUACUUUACCUCUGAGGGAUUCGCAUUUAAAAGCUAUAAUGAGUGCAUCUGUCGAGAUGGAUUUUAGUAAGAGGCUAGAUAAUGAUUGCGUUGAUGUGUAUGUUGAAAAGUUAAUGCGAAUCCCGUUGAAUGCGCCGAGUUUAAGUGAGAGCGGAAAUUUCGUGGUGGAUUCCAAUAUUCCAUAUCAAGAUGCUGUUAGAAGUGGGAGACGCGACGAUUUAAGUGAUGUGGAGUUUAGCGCGUCGGUUGUUCGGCAACUAGGACGAAGGCAGCUUUCAGUGUCGUGUUCGUCUGCAGUGGAGACUGGUUUGGAAAAACUCUCGAAAAUUAUUGGACAAAGCAUGAAUGAUGAGGUGGAAUGUACCUCGAACACAGAACCAAGAAAACAUUCGGCGUGUCAAAUGUAAUUCCUCAACUUUUUUAAUUUGCGAUGUGGUCGCGCUUCCAUUAUUAAGCCUCCUUUACUGUUCUAGAAGGCAUAAAUGUGGAAAUACGUGAGAACCUAUAUCGAGUUGUCAUUCUCUAAGUUGGCUCUUGAUUGAGGGUAUUGUAAAUUGGGAUUAUACUUGUUGGUUAUUUCCAAUUUACGAGUGAACGUAUCCGAUUCUUGGGUUUAUAGCUGAAAAUUUAAUUACUAUUCAAGCUACCAGCAGCUGGUGUUUGUCGUACUAAUUGCCAGUACAUUUUUCUUUUGAACACUUAAGAUAGCCGUAUAUGCUUUCUUUUCAAUCAGGGAACGAUUGUGUCCGUUUUAAGGUAGGUUUUAAUGCUCGUUUGUUGCUAUUAUAUCUGAAGUGCAGAGGAACUGCCAGUUGAUUCAGUUAUCUGGAGUGGCUGGAGAUCGAAAAGCCUAUCAUAUAUGCUCGACAAGCGUACUAUAAGGCUACUAUCUGGUGCCAGUUUAAUUUUUUCUGCGCCUGAAGAUCAAUGGGCUCAAACGUUUAAAAGACUUGAUACCUCAGCUGAGAACGAUGAUACGUGUGAAAUAAUAGUAAGCCAGGGAAAAAAAAAUUACCUCAAAAAAUUCGAAAGAUUUCCUCAUUUCUCGUAAUAUGCAGUUAUAUUUCUUGUCAUUCGCAGGAGCUAUUGUUAUUAGGAUGUAUUGCAGAUGGAUGGAGUGCUCUAAUUGAACACUUGAUGUCAGUUUCAUACGAUUCCCCUACCGUCUCGAUGCUCUAUCAUCAAGUGUUCAACUUACAGCCAGGAAACUCUGUUAACCUUCCCCUAAAAGGUCUCGUAAAUCCUAAGGUACAUUUUGUUAUUGGAUGCCUUUUUUUCUGGAUGUAUUGGCGAAUAAGAAGUCUGUGGGCUGGAUUUUACUCACUUGCUGGGAAGACGUGCUUCAGUCUGCUGUUUUUAGUGGGACCCACUCUUUACGAGCACUAAAUCUUUUUAAUCGAAGCAUCCCACUUGUUACGGUUUUAUUCAUCUCUUGAGCUGCCUUAUGAUCAGUUCAAUGAUUGUGAUGUACGCUCUCUAGUAAUUAUUGAAAGAUAGAGAUUAUUAGAGUUCUUAUUUUCAACCAUCAACUCUGUCGAUUUAAACCAGGAGAAAAGUGUUGUAGAAUAUUUGGAAGUGUUGCUUAGCAGACAACUCAACCAACUGUGGAAACUAUCACCUGUCCUUGCAGCAGUUGCAAUUCCUUCAUGGUACAUUUACGUUUCUCAAAUUAUUUUACUUCGGCCAAAUGCUUUCCCUUCGCUAAAUUCAUAUUAUAACAUCUUCAUUUGUAUUUCUGGUAUGUACUGUUCGAUUACAGGUCACAGUUGUUCAGAUCCUAUCUUCAUGAGCUUGAGGGUCAAAUUAGAGGAACUUGUACUGCGACGAGGUCUGUCGUUGUAACCUCUCAUUUUUCUGUUAAUAAACAUUAUCUGUGUACGUACGAAUCUUUUUAGCUUUUGUUUAGGUUUUUAUGUUUUCGUUUUUGUGUAGAUAUUGCAGUUGUAGAGUUGAUGCAGCCGAGCAUAUAGUAGAGCACAGGGAAUGUGAGUCUCUUUGUUUUCUCUUCAUAUUUCUCUAUGUUUGUUUUCUUACUUUCAAACUCUGAAUGAAUUGAGCGUCGAACUUGUAAACCGUGACCGGCUUUUCUUGCUCGUACUUGCAGGUGAGGUGGCAGAGAGAAUUUGGUGUCUUUAUAUCUUCCAUGUCAGUAGAUCCCAUGCCACAUCAAGAACAACCACUUUUACUUAGUUUGUUUUGGCCGUUUUUGCUGUAAUUGGUUAGCUUUCGAUUUGUAUAAUCGUUGAUAAAAAAGAUUACGAAGAGGGAAAGUAACAUAAUUUAAUCAGGGUAUUUAGCACUUGUAUAAAGGCGAAAAAGCAGAACAUUACUUCAACUACAUACAGCUGUUAGGUUAAGAAAAAAAUUGAUCAGUACAACAUCGUUGAUGUCUGUUGCAACUUCAAUCUCAGUAAGCAUAAGCUAUAAAAGCACUAGCAAAUAGCAAUGCAUUUUUUUGCCACGGAAAAAAAACAAAACAAGAGGACCGUUUUCAUCUUAUUUUUUUCUCCCAAAAAAAAAAAGAAAAUAAUACCAAAAAACCCAAAAAAUAGUGUUUUGUUUCAACUUCAACUUUUCAAUGCAAAUGCUAUUGAAGAAUAAGAUUAUGACAGAUCUCGUUAAUCUGGUGUAGCAGCACCUUGGUUGAGCUCUGCAAAUCUCAUGCCAACACGCAUGGAAUGCUUCAGGAACUUCUCAGCACAUCUACGAACACAAGUCUCCUCUUGCUUAUCGAGAGAUUUGCGCCGGAACGAGUCCACACAAUCAGUGAAACAUCUUUCCACCAAUGAAUUAUACAUCCUUAAACUGUACAACAAAUUCAAACAUUUCAACACUGCAGUAACUAAAAAUAAAUGAAGAUACAAUCAUUUGCGAUCAAACUGCUACAAGAAUAAAAGUAAAUUCUCAGGUGAAAAAAAGGAACAGAAAGCAGAAGUAAAUCGAGUAGUUUCACAUGAAUAACUAAAAACAUCGUAUCAAGAUUGCUAGAAGAAGAUCAGCCCAUACCACGAUUGUGUAAAUGAAUUAAACAUAUCUAUUUACUUGGUGGUCUAACAAAUCAAGUUAUACAAAGAAAAGACGCAACUAAAAAGAAGAACUACAUAGCCAUAUCCACGUCAAGCUAUCUGAAUAAGAAAGAGGAUUAACAUUUCACCAAAAAUCCAAGUUCGAGAAUUUGCCAGGUGUUCAGGGAUGAGCGUUGUUCAGUUAACAAUCAUUCAUAACUCGUGGCAGCUUUAACUACAGAGGCAUGAAACGCGAAGAAUUAUUCAUACUCUAGGCAACUUUUAUUUCAUCAAUUAGCAAAUCUCGAUUCUCGGUUGUUUCUUUCCCAUUGAUUACCGGCAAAGAACUGCAAUUCUCGGUAUUACACCAGAAAAAAAAAAACAGCUUCUUCUACCGCUUGAAUUACGCAUUAAUCAUGGCAAACUCUAUAGUAAAUACGAUUUCAAUAAAUCAUCAACAGAUACAAAAAAGUGGCAAAACAGAUGAUCCAUCUGUUGAACCAUAAAGCAGGGAAGACUAAUUUUUCCAUUAAAAUCUCAUUAAUUUCAACACAACUUCUACAAAUUUUCAAUUCGAUUAAUGAAAAUCUUCUGAAACACUUAUUUCUCUCACUACGAUUAUCACAGCAUUUUCACGGAAUCAAUGAAUUGAAAAUACGCGCAAACUAUCACAUUUCAGAGCUCAAAAUCAACAAGGUAAUUUUUCGAUGGAUUACCUGUCGCGAACUUGAAGCUGGUCGAUCAUGGCGGACAUACGGAGCUUAUCUUCCUCUGGAAGAGCGUCCAGAUCUCCAAGCAUGCUCUUGUCCAUUUUUGCAGAGGUUUUGUGUGGAAGAAUUGAUGAACAAGGUGUAAAACUAAUUUUGAUCGAAGAGCCUUAAAACCCUAGUUAUUGAAAUAGAGUAGAUUUUACUUACUCAGAAUGGACGGAUACGAUUGGAGGCCGUUCAUAAUGACUCAAGAUAUAUUACUUGUUAAAUAAUUUUUAGAGUUUAUUAUAAAAAAAAAAAAAAAAAAAAAAAAGAAGUAAAUUACGGUCAACCCACGAGGUAAUGUCAAAUUACGAAAAAUCUCCUCAUUUUUGAUUAAUUAUAAUCCCCUAUCAACUAUGAAUCUUCUUACACAUUCACUCGUGUGGUGUCAAAUUUAGUGGAAUAUUAUAGAUUAAAUGGAAUAUUUUCAAGUUUGUAUUAGUUUUAUCCAUUCAAGCUCCACAUUCUGAAACAAGAUGAUUAUAAAAUGUAUUUUUUGAGUUGUAUAUAUCAGAUUGUGGUGCAUCGCAUUUUUGCACCAAGCGAGUACAAACUAGUGAACAUUUAAAACGAAAUUAAGAAGAUUAUGUUGAAUUUGACACCAUAAGUGUGGACGUGAAAGAAAAUCCAUAGUUGAUGGAUAGUUGUAAUUACCCAAACAUGAGCUAUUUUUUCGUAAUUUGACCUUAUCUCAUGAUUGAUUGUAAUUUAUCCUAAAAGAAAUAAUGAGAUUUUAGCUCGUAAAUUUCUUUGUGCUAAUUUCAUAUACUAGAAAGUCUAUAUUAGUAUACUUUCGAGUUUCGACACUGCACUCUUAGUUUUUAGUUUCAGGGGACCUAUAGCUCUCCAUGCGAAAUGUUCGAAAUGUCCCUCACUUUAUAUUAUUAUUCCUACACUUCUUUUUCACUUAAAAAAUACUACCGAACACAGCUUCAGUAUUGUUUAUUUAUUUUAAUAGUGUAGUAUAUAAUAAAUUAAAUUAACUAUUGAGCAUAUAAUAAAUAAAUAAAAGUUAAGGGAACUUGUCCAUUAAUAUUUAUUGCAAUUUUCACUCAAAAAAAAAAAAUUUAUUGCAAUUUAUAUAUACCUAUCAUAGUCAGCACAAAAUUAGAGAAGGGCCAUCUCAAUAUUAUUAAUAGGAGGAAGCAAAUAAAAAGUGGGCCAAUAGAAAAAAAAGAGGUCCAUUGGACCAUCAACAGUGGCUUCACGGUUGCCCUUUUAGCCUGCUCAAAGAGCAUACAAUAUUUAUUAAAAAAAUAAUAUUUAAAUAAUAUCAAUCAUAUCAUAAAAAUUAAAAUAUUUGUCAAUUAUUUUGUCCACACGCACAUCAAUUGGAGGUACUCUCAGUGCCCAAUCAGAAUCCACAAACUAAUGUGGGACCUACACACCCAAAACAUAUAUCAAUGUUUUAGUUCUUUAUUUAUUAAUUUUUUUUCUAUUUUUUUUUACAUAAUUAUUAGUAUUAUUUGGCUGAUUUAAGUUGUAUAAGAAAAUUAUUCCAAAUGACUACAAUUUUCGUAUUUGGUAUUAUUACGUCUCGAUAUAAUGGCUUUGGAAAUUGAAAGAAAAUGCAAAAAACUAGGCAAAAGUCAAGAAAAUUGCAAAUCACAAAUCAAUUAUAAGAAUUUAAAGAGAGGAUUUCAAAUUUAUAUAUUUAUAUAUAAUAAUAAAUGUAUGAAGGUGGUUUGAUAAAUAAUAUUUUGUAAUGAAUACCAAAUCUUUAGCACUCUUUUUUGAAUUAUCGUGAUGAAUUUCAAAUUCGUUGCACUUAGAAUCAUUUAAAAUUUCUUCUCCAAAUAGUUUAAUUCCAAAUUCCUCACAUCAAAAAUACAACCUUAGAUUAAUUAAUCGUUACAUUGAACAAUAUAUUAUAUACUAUUUUAAUUAAAUGAAAGGGGGAUAAAACUACACGCUCCACAGGAAGCGCGUGAGACGGAUAUAUACCCCCCGAGUUAAAAAAAACAUGAAUCGGAUGAAGCCAAACUCAUAUAGAAGACAUCAAAAUAAAGGCGCACUUGUCACCGUACAUUUUUCCCUUUUUGUCCACUCGCCGGUGACGGAACCUCCCUCAAACAGGCCGCGCGUGCCGUUCCAACACAAUUAAUUUAUAGCUCAGCCAUCACGGGAUUGUGGCUGAAUUUCAUGAGUUCGCUUCUGAUUAUAACGUAAGGUGUUUUUAAUUUUGGUUGUUUCUGUUGAAUUUGCUGCAAUUUGUCCAUUUUCAGGGCUUUUUUUUUCUCCAAAAGCUGACUUCGAGUUGAUAAUUGAAUUUUAAUCUCUUAUUUUGAUUAUGAGAAAGUGGUGUUCAUUGGCUGUUAUGAACAUAGGAUUUUUCUUGUUAAUUUCUAAAAAAAACAUUAUUUGAUUGAUUACGGCAGAUAUUUUUGUUUUUUAGGAUUACUGUUGUAUUAUUCUGACGUCAUUUACCCACUGGAUUUGAUCUGCCAAGGCUGUAGACCUAAUUUUUGUUUUUGAGAUUAAUGUAUUUAUCCUUGGUGCAUGGUUUCGGUUCUGCAAUUGAAUCAUCUUUCAUCAUGAGUUUGAGAUGAUAGAUUUUGUUGACUAAUUUUUAUAAACACGUGAUUAGACUAAUAUUGGUUUGUUUGCAAGCACGCCAUCUAGCUUAUCGCAGCUCGUUCUCCGAGUUUUUUUGUCGGUGAUGUACAGCUUAGGUGUUUCCUUUUUUGAAAAAGCUUUGGUAAUAUGUAAGACCUUGUUGUUAUGGUGGAAUGGAGUUCUGGACUUGUAUAAAUGAACAGAUUCCGAUCACGUUAAUAUCGUGCCGUCUGUUCUUUAGUGAUCUUAUUUGCCAAUUGAAAUGUUUUAUUUCACCUUCUAGAUGUGAGGGAUUUUGCCCACCUUCAUGAGGCAUGAAACCUUCAAAUUAUGCUUUGCAAGUUACAUCUGUUACGUCUCUUUAGAUCUGUUGUUCACAGUAUUCAAAAUAGUCUGACAUUGAUAAGUCACAAUUUUCAUUCAUUUUCUUUUAGUAAACGUGGUAUAAAUGUGUUUUUUUAACACUUUGAGAUAUGAAAUCGACGUAUGUUCUUGUGGCUCAGUUAAACAGGUGACUGAAGAAUCUGAGCUGGUUUCUAAUAGCUUAUAUUGAAGUAGGUGUUCACUAAACACAAGCCAAAAAUGGAAGCAAGACCAGCUUUAUCUAUUCAAAGAUCAGGUGGCAGACAGAUUAGUAGCUUUGGGGCCUCUGCAGCACUCUCUCCUUCAUUUCCUGCUCGUCCAGCUGCUCUGCAAGAGUCGUCUCCGAAAUUUUCCGACUCCCAGUACAUUUCCGUAGAGAGGGAACUCAUGCAUCGUCAGCCAGCUCCAUUGUCUUCCAACAAUGGGGUUGUUGGGCAUAUAUUUUCUUCUUCUUCAGGAUUUUCUACCAAUCUUCAUUUUUCAACUAUAGAACAACAAGAGAGACAUCCAAGGCAACCCCCCUUCAUUUCUCAAUCAACAAGUAGCGGGAAGUCGGUUAUGUUAGCACAUCCUGUUGAUUCUCGGGUUCUUCAAUCCACUGCAUCAAGUCAGUUUAACAAAGAAAACAAUGAUUCGUGGUGCACGGAAACAUUGCCCGAUUUUCUUGAUUUUCCAAUGAAUACCACAAUCCUGAAUAAUGAACUAGAUGUUAGUACCAAUGGUGGCAUUCCCGUUCCCUCCGAGGAUCUCGGUAAACCAAGUGAUUGGCAGGAUUGGGCCGAUCAGCUUAUUACUGAUAAUGAUGCUUUGGCUACUGAUUGGAAUGGGAUUCUUGCUGAUGCAACUGUUGCAGAUCCAGCACCAAAGGUAAACUUUUUUUUUUUUUUUUUUUUUUUUUCUGCGUAUGAUAUACUGACUACCGUUCAAUUGAGUCAAUGACAUAAAUUUUCUCUUCUUUUAUCUGUUUUACUGUAGCCAUCGUAUCAGAUUUCUGAACAGUCACCAAAUAUCUCCAUGAAUCAGUCUCAGAUAUCCCUACACCUCCCCGGCACACCUGGAGAAAUUUGUACCAGUGGCGGUCAAUCAUCAUCUGCAAAUGCUGCUCCAGCAAAGCAGCGCAUGCGUUGGACGCCAGAACUUCAUGAGGCAUUUGUCGAAGCAGUCAACAAGCUUGGUGGCAGUGAAAGUAAUUUUAUUUUGCUUGCUUCACUGAUUCAAGUAACCUGAUGUAAAAUCACUGCGCUGCUACUUAACAUCAUUUGUUGUAUCUUUGAUACAGGAGCUACUCCCAAGGGUGUCCUGAAACAAAUGAAAGUUGAUGGGUUGACCAUUUAUCAUGUGAAAAGCCACUUGCAGGUAUGGAAUAUUCUGACCUUUUCCUAAACCUGCAUCGAUUCUCACUCUUCUUAAUACCGAUUUCUGAACUGCAGAAGUAUCGGACGGCUAGAUUCAAACCAGAGACACCAGAAGGUAUACCCUUUUCUUCAUGUUUUGUAACCCAUUCGUUCAUCAUCCAUUUCACAACAGUGAUACUGACGACGGUGCAGUGCUAUAUACAUGUUCUGCCAAUUUUCUUGAAAAUCGAUGAAAUUGCUUGGUAGCCAUUAUUUUUCGUUUCUUUUGUGGUGGUCUGUGACCUAUAAUAAGUACACAUUAGAAUAUGAACUCCAUGUUCUUGUUCUUUGUUUUUUCACUUGGCGAUGACCUCGGAUGCUAGGUUCUACUCUUCUCAAAUAUUCCAUGAAUUAAUGUGCAUAGAAGAGAAUAUUGAUCAUUGCCUAAUGUUUUCUUCUGCAGAAUCUUCAGAGAAAAAACUUGCCUCCAUUGAAGAUUUAUCAUCCUUGGACUUAAAAACGUGAGUUUAAAUGUUCUGUGAUGAAUUCUAAAAACUGAAAUGCUAUGAUUUAUUUCGUUAAAUCACGUCUUGUAAUUGAUGUAUUCUGUUGAGUUGAAACUUUUAGAUGGUAUUACUAUUAACUCUGAUAUCUGUUGACUAGUUUUCAUAGCUCCUUUUUUUUUUUAAUGUUCUAGUUAAAGUCGGAUGGGCAAAUGACCAUAACAAUGAUUGGAUGACUGUUAAAAAGGACCAAAUAUGGUUGCUCGAUUGGAACAUUUUGAAAUUGUCGAAUAUGUCAGCGAAAAAUAUGUUCGCUUUUAAAUAUCUUUGUAUCCCUUUGUUUCUGUUAAUUUCCUAUUGAACCCUGACCAGAUCUUCUGCCUUCUGUUUUGGUAUUGCACGUUUAAUCUUUCAUGUAAAGACACGAACUCUUGUUCUAUUGUCUAGCUUCAUCUGGCGAUGCUGGUCAAAUAUCCUCUUCCUCACUCGCACUUUCCAUUUCGGCAAUCCAAUUGCAUUAAUUUCUUCUAUUGAACGUGAACCUUUGAAAAAAAAUGUAGCUUAAUAUAUUUAUUUUUCCUGUGUUUGGCUGUUUUCUAUGCCAUAUGUUAUUCUUGCUGAUUGUUAUGAGUCUCUGGUUUUAAAACAGGGGUAUUGAGAUCACUGAAGCACUGCGAUUGCAGAUGGAAGUUCAGAAGCGGCUUCAUGAACAACUUGAGGUAUGGUUUUUUUUUUAAGAGAACCGUCUAAAAAUGAAGGAUUUACUAAAUUGAUUUGUUAGCUAGUAGAUGGUAUGUUAUGAAGAGUUAAAACAAAUUUAAAGCAGCCAAUGGUUUUUAAGUCUAGCAUUAUAUUAUUUUGAUACAUUAUAGGAAACCGCAAUUUGCAUACAGCAACUGCCACAGAUAUUGAAGACAAGAAAAAUUAUGUACAAAAGACAUGAUAUAAUUUCUACUUUUGCUAUAUGAUAUUCUCUGGAAUAUUGGAUGUCCCUGUUGCGAAAUUUCUUCCCGAUUAUGAAAUUGUACAAUUUCAACCUCUACUAUUUGAAUGUGAAAUAAGUUUUAAGUUUCUGGAAUGACUUUUAAGCCUUUUUCUGGGGAAUGGCUGGCACUUUUGCAGUGCACUUCAUAUAUUAAUUCGUAAAAAAAAAUAUUAUGCAGAUUCAAAGAAAUCUACAGCUUCGAAUAGAAGAACAGGGGAGAUAUCUUCAGAUGAUGUUCGAGAAGCAGUGCAAGUCAGGAGUUGACUUGAUCAAGGGCGGAGCCUCUUCCACGAGUGAGAACGCUCUUAAAGAGUUGGCAGAUGCAGUGCAAAAUUCUUGCGCCAAAGAUAAUUUACUAGUAGAAGCUGAGAAUAAUGAAACGAAAGGCGAAACUGCCAAAACAUCGGGAGAAACUUCUCAGCUAGUGGGGGAGAAACAAAAAGCAGUCGAGGCUGUAGUUCUUGAAAAUCCCGAGCCGAGUGCUGGUGAAAAAUCUGAGUCACCGCCAACAAAGCGUGCGAAAGUGGACGAGUAAGGUCGUCUUUUUGGUUCCUAUCAAAGACUCUACAGAGAAAACGGUUCACCAGUUCUCGAGUAGGGCUAGAAGAGUAAGCUCACAAAGGAGCUGUGAAAUUCUGUCUUUCCCCUCAAUAUUUUUUCGUUGAUAAGCAAUGUUUGAAUGUUAGAGUGUCACAACUCACAAACUUGUUGAAUUUUCGUUCGAGAUUUGUAGUCUUCUGACGUAGGCAUCGUCACAUGUAUUGUGGAAAAUUUGAUUCGAACAUGACACCCACCUUUCCGGCCCCACCGAAUUCCUCCAUCUUUUGAAGCUUUGUACAAAUGUUUAGAAUCUAUGAUUCAAUAAUUUGGGGAUCUGUGAAAAUUGCGAAAAUUAUGUCUUGUUUGUGAAAUUAUAUAUAGACCAUGUUGUACAAAUGUUUAGAAGUAUAGUUUAUUAGUGAUUAGACCAUGUUCUAGAAACUUACUCCAAGUCUUUUUUUUACUAAAAAUAUAUAGAUACUUCUAUGGAUACUUCUAAUGGAUAAACUAUAGUCGUUGAAUGAAGAUAAAUCAUAAUCAUUGGUUAGAAAUGUCACUUGGCAUAAGAUAAAAGUGUGAGUUACAAUUUUGUAUCCAGCCAAAAAAGAAAAAAAUCUUUUAGCUAGACCGUUGCGCCAUGAAAAAUGGUUUCGAGAAAAUGGUUUCGAGAGCAAGUUAUCGCAUCCUCAAGUGUUGAUGUACCCCGCAACAAUUUCGAAAGAGGGCUGAAAGCUUUAUCCAUCCAUGGUGAGAAAAAAAUGAAUGAGAAAAAAAUGAAGGAGAGGAGAGAUGUAAACAGGGAAAAAAAUGAAGGAGAGGAGAGAUGUAGUGAGGUCGUUUUUGGUUGGGGAAGUUAGUGUGAUUGUGGGUACGGGAGUGUUGGGCAGAGGAGUUGAUCUCUUGUAUGUGAGGCAGGUUAUUGUGUUUGACGUGCCGAAUUCGAUAAAAGAGUAUGUGCAUAUGAUUGGUAGGGCCUCGAGAAUGGGAGAAGAUGGUGCGGCGAUUGUGUUUGUGAACGAGGACGAUAAGAAAAUAUUUCCAGAGUUGGUUGAUAUUCUAGAAUCUUCUGGUGCUGUGAUUCCUCGCGAGCUUGCCAAUUCACGGCAUGCAGUGAGUUCUUUCUCAGUAGUCAGGGCUCAGAAGAAAAGGAAGCAUGGCUAUUGAAGAUACCGUAUCAUUUUUAUUUUUUCCGCUUAUGUAGUUUGUCUGAGAAUGUCUGAAACGACAUCUGUAUAGUGUACUAAAUGAAUAGUUGUAGGUUGAACGUAACUUGAACGACUGUCGGAAUAGUUGUCAAUAUGUACAAGAUUUUGUUGGAUUAAAAUGCCUUGCUCUUGAGGCAAUUUGGAUUUUACUGAAAUAUGUAGUGUUACUUGGUUUUGUUUGUGUCUCAUAUCUUGACCAUGUUUUGGUAUUUUUCACUUAAACAGAUUUGCUUCUCUUGUAAGAAAGAAGAAAGGAGGAAACUACUGAUCCAAACCUUUUUUUUCUUUUUCACAUGUAGAAUGUGUAUGAAAGAAAUAGACAAACCAAUUUACUAAGCAGUUGACUUGGUCAAGGGCGGAGCCUCUUCGGCCGGUGAGAACGCUCUUAAAGAGUUGGCAGAUGC